GCCAGAGUAGCUCAGUUGGUAGAGCAGCUGAUUUGUAAUCAGCGGGUCGCGGGUUCGACUCCUGUCUCUGGCUCCA
rnacentral:tRNA from 2 species